rnacentral:misc_RNA from 1 species
UACCCUUGACAUGUCCGAGAGCCUGCUGAAAGGUGGGUGUGCCUGAAAGGGAAUCGGAACACAGGUGCUGCAUGGCUGUCGUCAGCUCGUGUCGUGAGAUGUUGGGUUAAGUCCCGCAACGAGCGCAACCCUUGUCCCUAGUUGCUACGCAAGGGCACUCUAGGGAGACUGCCGGUGACAAACCGGAGGAAGGUGGGGAUGACGUAUAGGAACACCAAC